AAGUCGUAACAAGGUUUCCGUAGGUGAACCUGCGGAAGGAUCAUUAUCGAACACCUGUAAAGGGGAGAUCAGAUCGGUGGAUUCCACUCGGAACUGUUGCUGGCGGGCAUACGUCUGCAUGUGCACGUUCUGGCGUCCACUUUUCCAGUCGACCUUUUGCAAUCUUCAUUUACACCUGUGCACCUAUUGUAGGUCUUCGCAAGAGGAUCUAUGUCUUUCAUAACACUAUUUUGUAUGGCCAUAGAAUGUAUCGAUCGUCUGUGAUGGACGAGAGAAAAAAUAUAUUACAACUUUCAGCAACGGAUCUCUUGGUUCUCGCAUCGAUGAAGAACGCAGCGAAUUGCGAUAAGUAAUGUGAAUUGCAGAUUUCCAGUGAAUCAUCGAAUCUUUGAACGCACCUUGCGCUCCUUGGUAUUCCGAGGAGCAUGCCUGUUUGAGUGUCAUUAAAUUCUCAACCAUGUCUUCAUUGACAUGGCUUGGAUUUGGGUGUUGCUGGCGACGAAAGUCGUCAGCUCUCCUUAAAUGCAUUAGCAAAGGGGUUCUGCAAAGUAUGAGCUUUCGGACGUGCACGGCCUUUGACGUGAUAAUGAUCGUCAUCGCUGGAGCGUCCACUCGAAGGUUUGGACUUUGUAGAAACAAAACUCCUUGCUUACAAUUCAGACCAUCAUUCAGUUCUUGGAAGGCGAAGGCAGGCUUAUUAGUCUUUGAGCUAGUUACUAGUCUUUAUUGGCGAAAGCAGC
rnacentral:rRNA from 1 species